rnacentral:tRNA from 1 species
UUAAUUGAAGCCAAAAUAAGAGGCUUAUUAUUGUUAAUGAUACAAAUGAAUAUUAAUUUCCAAUUAAA